rnacentral:ncRNA from 1 species
CGACCUCAGGUCAGGCAAGACAACCCGCUGAGUUUAAGCAUAUCACUAAGCGGAGGAAAAGAAACUAACAAGGAUUUCCCUAGUAGCGGCGAGCGAAACGGAAAGAGCCCAGCUUGGAAAUCGGGGUGUCUCUGCACCCCGAAUUGUAGUCUGGAGAAGGGUCCUUUGCAGCGGACCGGGUUUAAGUCCCUUGGAACGGGACGCCAGAGAGGGUGAGAGCCCCGUCUAGCCCGGACCCUGCUGCAUCACGAGGCUCUUUCGGCGAGUCGGGCUGUUUGGGAAUGCAGCCUUAAGUGGGUGGUAAAUUCCAUCCAAGGCUAAAUACUGGUGAGAGACCGAUAGCGCACAAGUACCGCGAGGGAAAGAUGAAAAGGACUUUGAAAAGAGAGUUAAAAAGUGCUUGAAAUUGCUGGGAGGGAAGCGAAUGGAUGCCUUGUGCGCCCCUUGGUUGUGUGUGGAACGGCGAGAGCUGGUCUGCCAAGCAAUGCAAGGGGCUGUCCAGCAUGGGAGGACGCGGCGGGAUAACGGCUUGUGAGCCUCUGGCUCCCUGCCAAUGCCGCCGCUGCCUCUGAAAAUGGCGGGGUGCUCCGGUGCCCCGCCAGAUGCUGGAACUUGGGCGUUCCAUCCGACCCGUCUUGAAACACGGACCAAGGAGUCUAACAUGUAUGCGAGUCUGUGGGUGCUAAACCCGUACAGGCGAAAGGAAACUAAUUCGUGGGAUCCCCUUCGGGGGUGCACCACGGACCGACCUUGAUCUUUUGAGAAGGGUUUGAGUGUUAGCAUACCUGCUGGGACCCGAAAGAUGGUGAACUAUGCCUGAGCAGGGCGAAGCCAGAGGAAACUCUGGUGGAGGCUCGUAGCGAUACUGACGUGCAAAUCGUUCGUCAGACUUGGGUAUAGGGGCGAAAGACUAAUCGAACCAUCUAGUAGCUGGUACCCUCCGAAGUUUCCCUCAGGAUAGCUGGAGCUCUUGCUGAGUUUUAUCGGGUAAAGCGAAUGAUUAGAGGCAUCGGGGGUGAAACACCCUCGACCUAUUCUCAAACUUUAAAUAGGUAAAGCAGCCGGGGUUGCUCUGUUGAGCCCCGGCCGUGAAUGCGAGCUCCAAGUGGGCCAUUUUUGGUAAGCAGAACUGGCGAUGCGGGAUGAACCGAAAGCCGGGCUACGGUGCCAAAGUGCGCGCUAACCCAGAUCCCACAAAGGGUGUUGAUUGAUUAAGACAGCAGGACGGUGGUCAUGGAAGUCGAAAUCCGCUAAGGAGUGUGUAACAACUCACCUGCCGAAUCAACUAGCCCCGAAAAUGGAUGGCGCUUAAGCGCGCGGCCUAUGCCCGGCCAUCGCGGCGAUUGCGAGGCCCCGAUGAGUAGGAGGGCGUGGGGGUCGUGGUGCAGCUCUGGGCGCGAGCCCGAGUGAAACGGCCCCCAGUGCAGAUCUUGGUGGNNNNNNNNNNNNNNNNNNNNNNNN